UCUCAAGUUUGUUCAAUGAUGUUAUGACGGAGCUCUUGCAAUUGGUCUCAAAAGGACAUCUGAAACUGUAUGUACUUGUUAGGCUUCUCUAUGUGCUAAGCAUUUAGACAUCCUGCCAUAACUUUUAUUGAUAGAAUAUAUUGUGUGCUAAUCAUUGAAUCCUUUUUGGAUCGAUUAUUAAUUGGAGAGAAGCUUUUCUAAUUUUUUUUUGCCACUUUUGGCACCUUAGAGCGUCACAUGUGCCUGCCAGCGUGGACAGGGCACAAAUGACCACUCUUGUUGGACCUGAGAUAUCUGCUAGGUUUGUAACACAAAAUACAACUAUAAGGUAUGCUAAAGGUGCUACUAAUUUUAUUUGUUUUUUAUCAACUUCAGAUUACUAACUUUUGUUGUCUUGAUUAGUGUUUUGCUGUGGAGAAACUGAGGAAAGAGUAGGCUAAAGGUGAAAUGAGCUGAAAAUGCAAAUUUGCCUCCCAUUUUAAAGGUAAACUGUGAUGACUUAUUUUUCUACAAGAUGCAGAUUCUGGUGGGUGUGGGAUUGUUGUCAGGGAUACAAAUGAUGGUGUUUUUAUGGCUGCAGCCUAAUAUAUUAAUCUAGACCCUGGUUUUGAAAGUUUUCCUUCCCACUCUCUAUGUACUGUACUGCUUUGAAAGUAAAUGGUGUCUUCCCUAGAAAACAUUAUAUGGAAAAUGGAGCUACUAAUUCAAUAAGUUGUUGGCGGUUGAAAGAGAUUUGUUUAUUGGCACCAGACACCAGUGCAUAUACAUACACCGGUUCUUGGAUUUCUGCCAUUGGCAUCUGCUGUAGUGCAUAGCAUCGCCGUCAAAUGCUAAAGGUUGAAUAGUGCCACCCUGCUAGCUAUUACCUCUGUCCCUAAAAUAUAGCAACUUUGCUGGUUAAAAUAUAGCAUCUUCUACUGGAUAUGUAUAGAUUAUACUAGAAAAGAAGCCGCGUAAUGGGCCAACCAAUAGGAAAUAUCAAUGGGCCAACCUGAGAGAGGCCCAUCUGAUGACAACAUCUGUCAUCUCUCCAGGCUUGAGGGAAAAACAUGGAAAGAAUUGCUUUGGCAACAUUACAGCUCAUCCAAAGUUCUCAUCGGAGAGUUCGCUUGAUUACAGUAAGUCGGUAACUGCUAAGAAAAGAUCAAACCGCAUGUCAAAACAAUCGAAAACAGGAUAGAGUUUCUUUUAUUCCCCCUUAAAGUAGCAAUUAUAAAAAUCUACCAAGUAUAGUUUCUACUGUUCAGCAAACAAUUAACUAACUCGAUUCAUAGCUUGCAUUCUGAUAUAUUCGCUUUGUUCUUGAUCCAAAUCUCCAAUUGCAGGAAAAGGUGAAAUGCGCUUAUGGUAGGAAGUCUCUAGCUGUGUGGACCAAGCCUAAUAUUCCAACCCACCCCAACUCUGAUUAUCUGAUAUAAUCUGCCUUUCUGUACUAUGCAUUUCUUUAUGAACUUUCUGUGCAAAUGAGAAUAACAGUUAAGAAUCAAGUAGACCACCUGACCUGACCUGAUUAUCUGAUAACAGUUAAGAAUCAAGUAGAC
rnacentral:lncRNA from 1 species